rnacentral:rRNA from 1 species
UACGAAGGGGGCUAGCGUUGCUCGGAAUCACUGGGCGUAAAGCGCACGUAGGCGGAUUGUUAAGUCAGGGGUGAAAUCCUGGAGCUCAACUCCAGAACUGCCUUUGAUACUGGCGAUCUCGAGUCCGGGAGAGGUGAGUGGAACUGCGAGUGUAGAGGUGAAAUUCGUAGAUAUUCGGCAAGAACACCAGUGGCGAAGGCGGCUCACUGGCCCGGUACUGACGCUGAGGUGCGAAAGCGUGGGAGCAACAGGG